GGACUACACGGGUAUCUAAUCCUGUUUGCUCCCCACGCUUUCGUGUUUCAAUGUCAGGAAUGAGCCAAGGAGCUGCUUUCGCCAUCGGUGUUCCUCUCGAUAUCUACGCAUUUUACCGCUACUCCGAGAAUUCCACUCCUCUCUCUCACCCUCUAGCAUACCAGUUUCCAUCGCGAUUUUUUGGUUAAGCCAAAAGAUUUAACAACAGACUUAAUAUACAACCUACACACCCUUUACGCCCAAUGAUUCCGAAUAACGCUUGCACCCCUCGUAUUACCGCGGCGGCUGGCAC
rnacentral:rRNA from 1 species